rfam:Brassica oleracea var. oleracea cultivar TO1000 chromosome C7, whole genome shotgun sequence
AGAAGUUAAGAAACUGUUUCUUAACUUUUAACUAAAAAAAGUUAAGAAUCGGUUCUUAAUUAAGGAUUUUAAGAACCGGUUCUUAACUUUUUUAGUUAAAAGUUAAGAAACAGUUUCUUAACUUCC